rnacentral:rRNA from 1 species
AGUGAACGCUGGCGGUAGGCCUAACACAUGCAAGUCGAACGGCAGCACAGUAAGAGCUUGCUCUUACGGGUGGCGAGUGGCGGACGGGUGAGGAAUACAUCGGAAUCUACUUUUUCGUGGGGGAUAACGUAGGGAAACUUACGCUAAUACCGCAUACGACCUACGGGUGAGAGCAGGAGAUCUUCGGACCUUGCGCGAUUGAAUGAGCCGAUGUCGGAUUGGCUAGUUGGCGGGGUAAAGGCCCACCAAGGCGACGAUCCGUAGCUGGUCUGAGAGGAUGAUCAGCCACACUGGAACUGAGACACGGUCCAGACUCCUACGGGAGGCAGCAGUGGGGAAUAUUGGACAAUGGGCGCAAGCCUGAUCCAGCCAUACCGCGUGGGUGAAGAAGGCCUUCGGGUUGUAAAGCCCUUUUGUUGGGAAAGAAAAGCAGCAGGUUAAUACCCCGCUGUUCUGACGGUACCCAAAGAAUAAGCACCGGCUAACUUCGUG